GAAACCACACACAAAGGAACAAGGGUCUCUAGAUGCCAGGUGUGGGACCUCACUGCUGUUCAUAGAUGCCACUUUGAAAGCAAUCCAAAGGGAAGAGGGCAUUUCCCACCCCCAGUGCCUGUCCUGCAGCAGCCCUAGUCACUGGAUCAAAGUGUCUCUUACAGUGGAAACCCAUCCUUCACCUGCCCAAGGGCUUAUCUGAUACCUGCUGCUCACCUUGGCUCAGCACAGGACCUG
rnacentral:lncRNA from 12 species